CGUAGGUGAACCUGCGGAAGGAUCAUUUUAGUAUUCUAUUGCCUGCGCUUUAUUGCGCGGCGAUAAACCUUUUCACACAUUGUCUAGUUUUUUUUGAAACUUUGCUUUGGGUGGAUUUGUAAAAAGAAUCUGCCCAGAGGUUUUUUUUUUAACACAUUUUUUUUCUAAUGUUUUUUACCUUUUAAUUUUUAGUCAUGAAAAUUUUUUACAAAAUUUAAAUCUUCAAAACUUUCAACAACGGAUCUCUUGGUUCUCGCAACGAUGAAGAACGCAGCGAAAUGCGAUAAGUAUUGUGAAUUGCAGAUUUUCGUGAAUCAUCGAAUCUUUGAACGCACAUUGCGCCCUCUGGUAUUCCAGAGGGCAUGCCUGUUUGAGCGUCAUUUCUCUCUCAAAACUUUGGUUUUGGUAUUGAGUGAUACUCUGUCAAGGGUUUACUUGAAAUAUUGAAUUUGCAAGAGUGUACUUUGAUAGAACGUCUUCUGAAAUAAUGUAUUUGGUUCUUCCAACUCGUUUUAUCAGUAAGAUUGGGCUUCAAGUAUUUUUUUGGCUCGGCUUUACAACAAUAACAUAAAGUUUGACCUCAAAUCAGGUAGGACUACCCGCUGAACUUUAGCAUAUCAAUA
rnacentral:rRNA from 1 species